rfam:Colletotrichum gloeosporioides Cg-14 contig04962, whole genome shotgun sequence.
GGGCGUUUGGCGCAGUGGUAGCGCGUCCGCUUUGCAUACUCGCAUCUGCGGAAGGUCUAGGGUUCAAUCCCCUAAACGUCCA